UACAGAGGUCUCAAGCGUUUGUUCGGAUUCAUUGGGCGUAAAGGGUGCGUAGGUGGCGCCGUAAGUCGGGUGUGAAAUUUCGGAGCUUAACUCCGAAACUGCAUUCGAUACUGCGGUGCUUGAGGACUGGAGAGGAGACUGGAAUUCAUGGUGUAGCAGUGAAAUGCGCAGAUAUCAGGAGGAACACCGGUGGCGAAGGCGGGUCUCUGGGCCGAUAUUGACGCUGAGGAGCGAAAGCGUGGGGGAGCGAACAGG
rnacentral:rRNA from 1 species